rnacentral:rRNA from 1 species
UACGGAAGGGGCAAGCGUUGUUCGGAAUCAUUGGGCGUAAAGGGCGCGUAGGUGGUUCUGUAUGUCUACCGUGAAAGCGUACGGCUCAACCGUAUUUUGUCGGUAGAAACUGCAGGACUUGAGGCUGGGAGGGGCUGGUGGAAUUCCCUGUGUAGCGGUGAAAUGCGUAGAGAUGGGGGAGAACACUCGUGGCGAAGGCGGCCAGCUAGACCAGUUCUGACACUGAGGCGCGAAAGCUAGGGGAGCAAACGGG